rnacentral:rRNA from 1 species
AGAUCAAGCUACAAAGGGCGCACGGUGAAUGCCCUGGCACUAGGAGCCGAUGAAGGACGUGAUAAGCUG